UGCACACAGAAGUGGCAGCUUUGGCUGUUUCUUCUCCCACUCACGCUUCUUCCCCGUUAUCAUUUCUUAUUCUUUAAACUAUUUUCAAACAUAGCUUAUGUUCAAAAUCCAUUUGUUUCGGGCAAAACAAUGGCUAUCUUUGUUGAAGAUUCCCUGGUGUUAUCCAUUUUUUGUGUUCUUUGCUCUUUUGUUUUGUUUUUUUUAUGGGAUUUUUCAGCUUUCCAUAUGGAACUGAUUCUAGAGAUAAGUGUUCCUUAUCCCCUGAAAAUUGAAAAGGGAUGAUUCUCCCUUCUUCUCUGUACCUUCUUUUCUCUUCAAAAUGGCAAUUCCACUUGUACUGCUCGCAGCCCCCACCCAUAUUCAAAGCAAAUACUCCUCCAACUUUUCUGAUUGAAGGACAGAUUCUAUGUGCUUGAAGAGGAAAUGAAGAUUGCCAAGGUACCAUCUUUUUUAUGUUUAUAUGCCUUUAAUUUGACAUUGGCUAACAUUUUGAAUUUAUAUGUAGAUGGGUUUUCAGAGUUAUUUACAAGGACAACUUUGAUUUUAUGUUGGGUUAGUUAUUUUUUAUUUUAAAUAAGAUUUUAGUAUUUUUGCUAAAUUUUAUUAGUAGAUAAAAAGAGAAGAAAGAUUAUUGCUUUUUGUUGAUUAGAGUGGCCAGAAAGUGGAGUUUGCGCUUAAAACGGUAAAUGACUGGUUCAAAUAAAGUGAAGCGAACAGUCGUGAUGCAGUUGAGGAGGAGGUAGAAGACGAAAAUGAAAAAGAGGCAAAAAGGGGUAGCCAUUGAUGUUAUAUAAAUGUAGUAUUUUUUGGUUCAAAGGUUUUUUUUUUUUUUGGUUAACGUGGAUAUCCAGUCAGCUUAUAUAUACAUCGAUUAAUUUUAUAAA
rnacentral:lncRNA from 1 species